UAGAGUUAGAUCCUGCCUUAUAUUGAACGCUGGCGGCAUGCCUUACACAUGCAAGUCGAACGGCAGCACGGGUGCUUGCACCUGGUGGCGAGUGGCCAACGGGUGAGUAAUACAUCGGAACGUACCUUAUCGUGGGGGAUAACGCAGCGAAAGUUGCGCUAAUACCGCAUACGCCCUGAGGGGGAAAGCGGGGGACCGUAAGGCCUCGCGCGAUUAGAGCGGCCGAUGUCUGAUUAGCUUGUUGGAGAGGUAAAAGCUCACCAAGGCGAUGAUCAGUAGCUGGUCGGAGAGGACGAUCAGCCACACUGGGACUGAGACACGGACCAGACUCCUACGUGGAGGCAGCAGAGGGGAAUCUUGGACAAUGGGGGCAACCCUGACCCACCGAUGCCGC
rnacentral:rRNA from 1 species